rnacentral:rRNA from 1 species
UACAUGGGGUGCAAACGUUGCUCGGAAUUAUUGGGCGUAAAGCGCACGUGGGCGGUUCGUUAAGUCGGAUGUGAAAGCCCUCGGCUCAACUGAGGAAGUGCACCCGAAACUGGCGAGCUUGAGUACGAAAGAGGAUCGCGGAAUUCCCGGUGUAGAGGUGAAAUUCGUAGAUAUCGGGAGGAACACCGGUGGCGAAGGCGGCGAUCUGGGUCGAUACUGACGCUGAGGUGCGAAAGCGUGGGGAGCAAACAGG